AGGUUAUUCCUGUUAGUUAAACUUUCUCGUUAACGACAUCUCUCACAUGCGAAAUACUACAUUGUCAACACCAAAAAAAAAAAAAAAAAAAAAAUUACCCCUACUCAUCACCCUUUCUUUAUGAUUAAUUAAAUAUAUCCAUGCAUCAUACAAAUUAAAAAUUAGACAACGUCCUACAUUAUCAAAUAUUCAAAAUUGGGGAAAAGAAAGGCAAGAGAAACAGAAUUUCAACCUUAUUUAAAUUCGUACCAAUUAUAAACUUUGUCGAAAAAAAAAAAUCAAUCAUAAGCCGUAAUCAACUAAUUAACUUAUUAAACCAUAUGUUUACCAAUCAACAAAAGCCCAAACAUUAGAGCAAAAUGAACUUUAAAAAUUCUAGAAAAAUAAGAGCAAAGAAGCAAGAGCCUUUUACUCCCUCCGUCCCAUAAUACUUGGGACGUUGGGAUGGACACGUAAUUUAAGGAAAUUAUAAGUGGGUCAACUUAAAACAUUGGUUUAUUAUGUAAAAUAUUCUCUUUUAUAUUUUUAUAUUGUAAGAAAAGAACAAGUGGGGUGGAAGUGGAGUAGGUGAGGAGAGAAAAAAUGAGAGAAAAUAUUAUUUUAUUAAUGGUCUCAUUCUAUAUUUAAUAACGUGUCAAGUAUUGUGGGACGGACGAAAAUAAGAACUGUGUCAAGUAAAUUUCACGUAAGCCUAAGCGCGAAUAGUUGCCGGAACUCUCCUAAGUAAAAACUUUUUCCGGCGGAUAUAUGUGAAAGCUUUUUCCUGAACUUUCCUCGAAGAAUUGAGCCUGCUGGGUAUAAUUUUCUCUGUGUUUCAGACAAGAAUUUGUUAAACUUGCGCGGAUUCUAAAUUUAAGUUCAGGAAUGUCAAUAGGUGUUGAUGUAUCGUCGCGGCUAAUAGUAAUUGAUAGCUCAGAGGUGGAAGAAAUUAUUUUAAACAAUUACAAAAUGGAAAAAGAAGUAAGACUAGAAGAAGUUAUAGCUUAUAGCAGCAAGUUGAUGUGACCGGUGAACUCUGCUUCGGUCAACUUUAUGGAUGCUACCAACCUUAGCAAAUAAGAGGCAAUCCUUCAAUUCUGACAAAUCUGCACUUGGCCUGAAAGUCCCAUAUCUAGGAUUUGUUGAACAAGAAAGCUUCGUGUUUGCUGAACUCUGCUUCGGUCAAUUUUAUGGAUGCUACACCAGGAGAAACUCUUUCCAAGAAGUGCAAUUUGUUGUAGGGUCCAUAAGAGUUGUAUAUCCUUCGAAACUUGUAGCAAAUAUUAGAUUAUGUGAAAUCUUGUUGGCGUGUACUAUUAUAAGAAAUUUUGUUUGAUUUUGUAAAAGAAAGGUUUGGGCAAGAAUGUGUCAAUAUCCAUUCUCUAUUAUGGAUAUAUUACCUAGGAAAAUCUUGCUCCUAAAUUUCCCAUGUAUAGUCUUUAAUUGAACAAAUAAAUUUCCCAUGUAUCUACCUAAAAGUUAAUUUGGAGGAUAUUCCACAUAAUUUCCAAUAAAUUAUUAUUAAAGUA